UGCAGUCGAGCGGUAACAUUUCCAGCUUGCUGGAAGAUGACGAGCGGCGGACGGGUGAGUAACGCGUAGGAAUCUACCGAGUAGUGGGGGAUAGCCCAGAGAAAUUUGGAUUAAUACCGCAUACGCCCUACGGGGGAAAGGAGGGGAUCUUCGGACCUUUCGCUAUUUGAUGAGCCUGCGUGAGAUUAGCUAGUUGGUGAGGUAAAGGCUCACCAAGGCGACGAUCUCUAGCUGGUCUGAGAGGAUGAUCAGCCACACUGGGACUGGGACACGGCCCAGACUCCUACGGGAGGCAGCAGUGGGGAAUCUUGGACAAUGGGGGCAACCCUGAUCCAGCCAUGCCGCGUGAGUGAUGAAGGCCCUAGGGUCGUAAAGCUCUUUCGCCUGUGAAGAUAAUGACUGUAGCAGGUAAAGAAACCCCGGCUAACUCCGUGCCAGCAGCCGCGGUAAUACGGAGGGGGUUAGCGUUGUUCGGAAUUACUGGGCGUAAAGCGCGCGUAGGCGGACUGGAAAGUUGGGGGUGAAAUCCCAGGGCUCAACCCUGGAACUGCCUCCAAAACUAUCAGUCUAGAGUUCGAGAGAGGUGAGUGGAAUUCCGAGUGUAGAGGUGAAAUUCGUAGAUAUUC
rnacentral:rRNA from 1 species